GUAGAUUUAGUUAAAAAGAAAGAACGUUUGAUUUGCAAUCAAAAAGUCUAAGUUUAAACCUUAGAAUCCACA
rnacentral:tRNA from 1 species